rnacentral:rRNA from 1 species
AACGAACGCCGGCGGCAGGCUUAACACAUGCAAGUCGAACGGAUGUAGCAAUACAUCAGUGGCAGACGGGUGAGUAACACGUGGGAACCUUCCUCGUUGUACGGAACAACUCAGGGAAACUUGAGCUAAUACCGUAUACGUCCGAGAGGAGAAAGAUUUAUCGCAAUGAGACGGGCCCGCGUCGGAUUAGCUAGUUGGUGGGGUAACGGCCUACCAAGGCGACGAUCCGUAGCUGAUCUGAGAGGAUGAUCAGCCACACUGGGACUGAGACACGGCCCAGACUCCUACGGGAGGCAGCAGUGGGGAAUCUUGGACAAUGGGCGCAAGCCUGAUCCAGCCAUGCCGCGUGUGUGAUGAAGGCCUUAGGGUUGUAAAGCACUUUCGUUGGGGAUGAUAAUGACCGUACCCAAAGAAGAAGCCACGGCUAAAUUCGUGCCAGCAGCCGCGGUAA